rnacentral:tRNA from 2 species
GCGGGUGUAGCUCAGUGGUAGAGCUCCAGCCUUCCAAGCUGGCUAUGUGGGUUCGAUUCCCAUCACCCGCUCCA